rnacentral:rRNA from 1 species
AGGACGAACGCUGGCGGCGUGCUUAACACAUGCAAGUCGAGCGGAAAGGCCCUUCGGGGUACUCGAGCGGCGAACGGGUGAGUAACACGUGAGUAAUCUGCCCCUAUGCUCUGGGAUAGCUCCGGGAAACCGGGAUUAAUACCAGAUACGACCACUUUAGACAUCUGUUGUGGUGGAAAGAAUUUUGGCUAGGGAUGAGCUCGCGGCCUAUCAGCUUGUUGGUGAGGUAACGGCUCACCAAGGCGACGACGGGUAGCCGGCCUGAGAGGGCGACCGGCCACACUGGGACUGAGACACGGCCCAGACUCCUACGGGAGGCAGCAGUGGGGAAUAUUGCGCAAUGGGCGAAAGCCUGACGCAGCGACGCCGCGUGGGGGAUGAAGGCCUUCGGGUUGUAACCCCUUUCAGCAGGGACGAAGCGAAAGUGACGGUACCUGCAGAAGAAGCGCCGGCUAACUACGCGCCAGCAGCCGC